rnacentral:rRNA from 1 species
UGGGGAAUAUUGGGCAAUGGGCGAAAGCCUGACCCAGCGACGCCGCGUGAGGGAAGAAGGUCUUCGGAUUGUAAACCUUAGUUAGCAGGGAAGAAGAAAGUGACGGUACCUGCAGAGAAAGCCACGGCUAACUACGUGCCAGCAGCCGCGGUAAUACGUAGGUGGCGAGCGUUAUCCGGAAUUACUGGGUGUAAAGGGUGUGUAGGCGGGCAAACAAGUCAGAUGUGAAAACUAUGGGCUUAACCCAUAGCCUGCAUUUGAAACUGUAUGUCUUGAGGAUGGGAGAGGUAAAUGGAAUUCCCGGUGUAGCGGUGAAAUGCAUAGAUAUUAGGAGGAACAUCGGUGGCGAAGGCGGCUUUCUGGACUGACACUGACGCUGAGGCUCGAAAGCGUGGGGAGCAAACAGGAUUAGAUACCCUGGUAGU